GAUGAACGCUGGCGGCGUGCCUAAUACAUGCAAGUAGAACGCUAACGGAGGAGCUUGCUCUUCUGGAUGAGUUGCGAACGGGUGAGUAACGCGUAGGUAACCUGCCUGGUAGCGGGGUAUAACUAUUGGAAACGAUAGCUAAUACCGCAUGACAACAGUUCUUGCAUGAUAACUGUUUAAACUGGGCACCUGCUCCACUACCAUAUGGCCCUGCGUUGUAUUAGCUAGUUGGUGAGGUAACGGCUCACCAAGGCGACGAUACAUAGCCGACCUGAGAGGGUGAUAGGCCACACUGGGACUGAGACACGGCCCAGACUCCUACGGGAGGCAGCAGUAGGGAAUCUUCGGAAAUGGACGGAAGUCUGACCGAGCAACGCCGCGUGAGUGAAGAAGGGUUUCGGAUCGUAAAGCUCUGUUGUAAGAGAAGAACGAGUGGGAGAGUGGAAAGUGCACACUGUGACGGUAUCUUACCAGAAAGGGACGGCUAACUACGUG
rnacentral:rRNA from 1 species